UACGUAGGGUGCAGGCGUUAAUCGUAAUUACUGGGCGUAAAGCGCACGUAGGCGGCUUUGUAAGUUAGAGGUGAAAGCCCGGGGCUCAACUCCGGAAUUGCCUUUAAGACUGCAUCGCUAGAAUUGUGGAGAGGUAAGUGGAAUUCCGAGUGUAGAGGUGAAAUUCGUAGAUAUUCGGAAGAACACCAGUGGCGAAGGCGACUUACUGGACACAUAUUGACGCUGAGGUGCGAAAGCGUGGGGAGCAAACAGG
rnacentral:rRNA from 1 species